UACGUAGGGUGCAAGCGUUAAUCGGAAUUACUGGGCGUAAAGCGUGCGCAGGCGGUUAUGUAAGACAGUUGUGAAAUCCCCGGGCUCAACCUGGGAACUGCAUCUGUGACUGCAUAGCUAGAGUACGGUAGAGGGGGAUGGAAUUCCGCGUGUAGCAGUGAAAUGCGUAGAUAUGCGGAGGAACACCGAUGGCGAAGGCAAUCCCCUGGACCUGUACUGACGCUCAUGCACGAAAGUGUGGGGAUCAAACAGG
rnacentral:rRNA from 1 species